rnacentral:misc_RNA from 1 species
UUUCCGAAGGUGAACCUGCGGAAGGAUCAUUAAUGAGUUGUCAUGGGGUUCGAUGCUGGCAUCCAAUUUUUGGAUGCAUGUGCUUGCCCUAACAAUCAUCUUCCAAACACCUGUGCACAUUUUUGAGGGAGUCUUGAUUUGGUUGCCGCUCUUGGGUGAUUUUCUCACAUUCCCUUAAAUCAUUAUACGCUAUUAACAAUGUUGAACGUGCUCUGUGCCGCAAGGCUAUUAAUAUAAUACAACUUUUAACAACGGAUCUCUUGGCUCUC